CCUCCGGGGGGCAGCAGUGAGGAAUAUUGGUCAAUGGGCGAGAGUCUGAACCAGCCAAGUAGCGUGAGGGAUGACUGCCCUAUGGGUUGUAAACUUCUUUUAUCGGGGAGUAAAACGCUCCACGUGUGGGAUUCUGUAUGUACCAUAUGAAUAAGGAUCGGCUAACUCCGUGCCAGCAGCCGCGGUAAUACGGAGGAUCCGAGCGUUAUCCGGAUUUAUUGGGUUUAAAGGGAGCGUAGAUGGCUUGUUAAGUCAGAAGUGAAAGUUUGUGGCUCAACCGUAAAAUUGCAGUUGAAACUGGGCGUCUUGAGUACAGGAGAGGUAGGCGGAAUUCGUGGUGUAGCGGUGAAAUGCGUAGAUAUCACGAAGAACUCCGAUUGCGAAGGCAGCUCACUGGACUGCAACUGACGCUGAGGCUCGAAAGUGUGGGUAGCAAACAGGAUUAGAUACCCGAGUAGUC
rnacentral:rRNA from 1 species